rnacentral:rRNA from 1 species
CCUACGGGAGGCUGCAGUGAGGAAUAUUGGUCAAUGGACGAGAGUCUGAACCAGCCAAGUAGCGUGAAGGAUGACUGCCCUAUGGGUUUUAAACUUCUUUUAUAAAGGAAUAAAACGAGGCACGUGUGCCUUUUUGCAUGUACUUUAUGAAUAAGGAUCGGCUAACUCCGUGCCAGCAGCCGCGGUAAUACGGAGGAUCCGAGCGUUAUCCGGAUUUAUUGGGUUUAAAGGGAGCGUAGAUGGGUUGUUAAGUCAGUUGUGAAAGUUUGCGGCUCAACCGUAAAAUUGCAAUUGAUACUGGCAGUCUUGAGUACAGUUGAGGUAGGCGGAAUUCGUGGUGUAGCGGUGAAAUGCUUAGAUAUCACGAAGAACCCCGAUUGCGAAGGCAGAUUACUAAACUGUGACUGACAUUGAUGCUCGAAAGUGUGGGUAUCAAACAGGAUUAGAUACCCGAGUAGUC